UUGCUAUACAAUACUUUUUUAACCAAUGUAUUUAAUAUUUUCAAUUAAAUUCCCCCAUUUAGCGCCAAAAACGUGUGCGCAUUUCUGAAGACGUUUAUCAUCUACAUUUAUGUUUUACUUUCAAAAAGAUGGUGGAGAAUAUUAAAUAUAUGAGUCUACAAUAUGCUAAGGAAGUCUCUCUGCUGAACUUAGAUCUAAUGAAUUUAUUGGAAGUUUAGAGAGCUACAUGUAUUAUGCCUGGAAUCAAAGGAUAACGCGAGUCCUAUUUCAGGUGGCGCCAAAAACGUGUGUCGCAUUUCUGAAGACGUUUAUCAUCUACAUUUAUGUUUUACUU